CGGAGCAAAGAGGGGGACCUUCGGGCCUCUCGCGUCAGGAUAUGCCUAGGUGGGAUUAGCUAGUUGGUGAGGUAAUGGCUCACCAAGGCGACGAUCCCUAGCUGGUCUGAGAGGAUGAUCAGCCACACUGGAACUGAGACACGGUCCAGACUCCUACGGGAGGCAGCAGUGGGGAAUAUUGCACAAUGGGCGCAAGCCUGAUGCAGCCAUGCCGCGUGUAUGAAGAAGGCCUUCGGGUUGUAAAGUACUUUCAGUCGUGAGGAAGGCGUUAGUGUUAAUAGCACUAUCGUUUGACGUUAGCGACAGAAGAAGCACCGGCUAACUCCGUGCCAGCAGCCGCGGUAAUACGGAGGGUGCGAGCGUUAAUCGGAAUUACUGGGCGUAAAGCGCAUGCAGGUGGUUCGUUAAGUCAGAUGUG
rnacentral:rRNA from 1 species